UACAGUAUUGACAUCCUAGGACCCUUAACACCUUGCCCCCGCCCAGUCUUGGGAUAAAUAAAUAAAUUGCUCAUUCUCUUCGCUCACUCUUUUUUUCCCUCCAAAAAGUUCCCUUGCUUUUAAAAUUGAUUGAGUUUCUUCAUCGGAGGCGAUCGACAGUGAUUAGUUUUCUUUUAUUUCAUUCAUCAUUCUCAACAACCUUUGCUCUCUCUGGUAUUCUUGUGGAAUUAGGGAUUCUAAGGAUUAAGAAUCGAAGAUGGAGAAGUUACUUGCAGUGCAUGAAGAAUCUCAGUGCUCAAAUGAAUCUCUGUACAUGUACAUUUGAAAUCGGAAAAAAAAAAUCACAAGGAGGGAUCGAUUUUGUGUUUGAUACGUAUAUGAGUGAAUUUUGUUAGAUGUGGAAGAUCAGGCAGGGCAGCCAAGGUAUAUGUAGAAGACCAGAAGCUGAUCGCCAACCAUCGAAAACAUGGAGACAGAUCUCAACUCCGCCAGACGAUAAAUAUCAGGAACUUCAGUUUGCUUGUGAUGCUUGGGGUAAGCAACUUGACCAUACAAAUCGUACUUGUCAAUGAGCUUGAGCACAGCUGUGAGAACAACUGAGCUACUGUUAGACAUCUCUUCAAUGUCGUCUCUGUUACCAAGUAUUAGAGUCUGCAAGAAAAAGACAGAAAUGUUCUGAGAAGUUGGCAUCACCCUUUUCCUUCUCUCCCUCGGAUAGCUCAGAAAGAUCGUCUGCAGCAUCAUUACGCCCUUGCUCUAGCUCCAACUGUCUUCUGGCAAGCCUUUGUGCAUCAUCCCAUGCUAUCUGCAAGUAAAUAUUACCUUUGUUUGCUUCCCAGAAGCUUACUUACAGACAACACUUUUAGUUUUAUGAUUAAAUAUACUCAUCGAGUGAAAAUGCCAGGAGUUCUUAUGAGGUGAACUAACAAGUAACACAGUGGAGAAUUUAAUUCCUAGGCUGAUGCCUUGAAGAGGACUAGAGCUGAAUCCUGGUAUGAAAAUUAGGUUUAUUAGUUCUUGUUGAAAAUUUUGUAUUUGAAUAUUUUGAAUGCUCCAUAUUUCCAUAUUUCAUAUUCUGACUUUUAGAUUACAUAUGGUUUUUCCGUUAUAUGUAUUCAUCAAAUUCGAGUAUAAGAACAGGAUAUUGCAGGAGUUAAUUGUUUGC